rnacentral:rRNA from 1 species
CCUGAACGCUGGCGGCGUGGCUAAGACAUGCAAGUCGCACGGGGCCGCAAGGUCCAGUGGCGAACGGGUGAGUAAAGAAUCGCUAACGUACCCCGGACUUUGGGAUAGCUAUCCGAAAGGGUAGGUAAUACCAGAUGACAUAUCCGAUCCGCAUGGAUUGGAUCUCAAAGGUCCGCCGGUCUGGGAGCGGGCGAUUUCGUAUCAGCUAGUUGGUGAGGUAACGGCUCACCAAGGCGACGACGCGUAGCCGGACUGAGAGGUUGGCCGGCCACAUUGGGACUGAGACACUGCCCAGACUCCUACGGGGGGCUGCAGUAACGAAUCUUCCGCAAUGCACGAAAG